AGAUCGGAUGAAUGCCGGCUCAAAAGGCAUUCAAGAAGCUGCAAUUCUGGAUGUCUUAGCGCUGGGUUAUGUGGCUGUUGGACACCUAAAAACUGUUGCUUCUCUGUUGAAUGUGUGCCUUGUAUUAACUCCAUCUUGUGAAGGCAGAGAAAGCUAGAAGAUACAUUCCAAGAGAAUUCAAAUUGGCUGAAGCUUUUGGGGAUAUUUUUGUUUGGUUAAUUUUCAAGACUGGUAAAAUCAUUCUAAAAUCUUUUGAAUUUUGAUAGGACUUGUAAAUUAUGUUAAACUUUGAAAUUAAACAGAGGCUGCAUUAAUUAUUACU